rnacentral:rRNA from 1 species
ACGAGUGGCGGACGGGUGAGUAAUGUCUGGGAAACUGCCUGAUGGAGGGGGAUAACUACUGGAAACGGUGGCUAAUACCGCAUAACGUCGCAAGACCAAAGAGGGGGACCUUCGGGCCUCUUGCCAUCAGAUGUGCCCAGAUGGGAUUAGCUUGUUGGUGAGGUAACGGCUCACCAAGGCGACGAUCCCUAGCUGGUCUGAGAGGAUGACCAGCCACACUGGAACUGAGACACGGUCCAGACUCCUACGGGAGGCAGCAGUGGGGAAUAUUGCACAAUGGGCGCAAGCCUGAUGCAGCCAUGCCGCGUGUAUGAAGAAGGCCUUCGGGUUGUAAAGUACUUUCAGCGGGGAGGAAGGUGUUGUGGUUAAUAACCGCAGCAAUUGACGUUACCCGCAGAAGAAGCACCGGCUAACUCCGUGCCAGCAGCCGCGGUAAUACGGAGGGUGCAAGCGUUAAUCGGAAUUACUGGGCGUAAAGCGCACGCAGGCGGUCUGUCAAGUCGGAUGUGAAAUCCCCGGGCUCAACCUGGGAACUGCAUUCGAAACUGGCAGGCUUGAGUCUUGUAGAGGGGGGUAGAAUUCCAGGUGUAGCGGUGAAAUGCGUAGAGAUCUGGAGGAAUACCGGUGGCGAAGGCGGCCCCCUGGACAAAGACUGACGCUCAGGUGCGAAAGCGUGGGGAGCAAACAGGAUUAGAUACCCUGGUAGUCCACGCCGUAAACGAUGUCUACUUGGAGGUUGUGCCCUUGAGGCGUGGCUUCCGGAGCUAACGCGUUAAGUAGACCGCCUGGGGAGUACGGCCGCAAGGUUAAAACUCAAAUGAAUUGACGGGGGCCCGCACAAGCGGUGGAGCAUGUGGUUUAAUUCGAUGCAACGCGAAGAACCUUACCUGGUCUUGACAUCCACAGAACUUUCCAGAGAUGGAUUGGUGCCUUCGGGAACUGUGAGACAGGUGCUGCAUGGCUGUCGUCAGCUCGUGUUGUGAAAUGUUGGGUUAAGUCCCGCAACGAGCGCAACCCUUAUCCUUUGUUGCCAGCGGUCCGGCCGGGAACUCAAAGGAGACUGCCAGUGAUAAACUGGAGGAAGGUGGGGAUGACGUCAAGUCAUCAUGGCCCUUACGACCAGGGCUACACACGUGCUACAAUGGCGCAUACAAAGAGAAGCGACCUCGCGAGAGCAAGCGGACCUCAUAAAGUGCGUCGUAGUCCGGAUUGGAGUCUGCAACUCGACUCCAUGAAGUCGGAAUCGCUAGUAAUCGUGGAUCAGAAUGCCACGGUGAAUACGUUCCCGGGCCUUGUACACACCGCCCGUCACACCAUGGGAGUGGGUUGCAAAAGAAGUAGGUAGCUUAACCUUCGGGAGGGCGCUUACCACUUUGUGAUUCAUGACUGGGGUGAAGUCGUAACAAGGUAACCGUAGGGGAACCUGCGGUUGGAUCACCUCCUUACCUUAAAGAAGC